rnacentral:rRNA from 1 species
ACUCCUGCGGGAGGCAGCAGUGGGGAAUAUUGUACAAUGGGCGCAAGCCUGAUGCAGCCAUGCCGCGUGUAUGAAGAAGGCCUUCGGGUUGUAAAGUACUUUCAGCGGGGAGGAAGGCAAUACGGUUAAUAACCGUGUUGAUUGACGUUACCCGCAGAAGAAGCACCGGCUAACUCCGUGCCAGCAGCCGCGGUAAUACGGAGGGUGCAAGCGUUAAUCGGAAUUACUGGGCGUAAAGCGCACGCAGGCGGUCUGUCAAGUCGGAUGUGAAAUCCCCGGGCUCAACCUGGGAACUGCAUUCGAAACUGGCAGGCUUGAGUCUUGUAGAGGGGGGUAGAAUUCCAGGUGUAGCGGUGAAAUGCGUAGAGAUCUGGAGGAAUACCGGUGGCGAAGGCGGCCCCCUGGACAAAGACUGACGCUCAGGUGCGAAAGCGUGGGGAGCAAACAGGAUUAGAUACCCGAGUAGUCCCAU